UAAUUAUAAAAAAAAAAAAAUUAAGUAAAGGGCCCAGUUUCUGACACUCAAAAUUUCUUGUGUUGUAGUUUCUGACACUGACGUCGGCCUAGAUUCUGACACUCAUUUAUAAAAAUUAUUCAUUAUUAGUUAGGUUUACAUUAUUUAAUUAAAAUAAAAUAAAAUCAUUCA